GUUUAUGGCCAGACCAACUUGAGAAUGCCCGAUUUCGUCUGAUCUCAGAAGCUCAGAAGUUUGGGCCUGGUUAGUACUUGGAUGGGAGAAACA
rnacentral:rRNA from 1 species